CGCUCCAACGUAGCAGGGUUAAAUCAAAUAGAAAUAGCAGGCAAUCUGCUUCAUGUCAAGAUGUUUUCUGCUGCGAGGCUCGACUGCACGGUGCUCAGCGAACAGGAAGCAGGAGUCUCACCGGUGCAUUUUAACACCGACUCCGUCAACAGAAAACCACAAGGUAUGCCGUUGUGCAUACUGCACCUUCAACACACAUUCAAAGUGCUGCUGGCAUAUUCCUCAUCGUCAUGCGCCUGAUUUGACAUGGCUCAAAUAACUGUCUUCCUGCCAGUGAUUGGCAUUCACACAAGAAGGGGUGAGUGGGACUGGGGAGCAGAUGGUGACAUUCCACAUGACCAAACUGAUCAAUCAGCAUGCUGGGACGCAGGUGCAGCGCAGGCGGGCAGCACCACACCAUCUAUUUCACCAUCUACGGGGCACAAACACACGGGCACCGAUCGCGGCACCCCGAGGGUCUGCAUGCUCCUCUGUCCCGCUGUGCCAAGGUUGAUGACAUCAGAAUUUCCCAUCCGCUCUUCCACGGGAUGCCAAGGAAACGGAGGCAACAACGCUGCAUAGAAUCUACAACAAGAGCCUGGCCCGGGUCAGGUUGUGCAAGUGACGUCAAAGCCCGGGACUCCCAGGUUUCACCCUGGAAAUACACUGACAGGCCAGAGGACAAAGCAGACAAAAGUACAGUGUUAUUUUUUGGGAUCUGAUAGAAGUACUUAGGGGCUAAAAUCACUGAAAUGACUUUCUGACUGCAAAAACACUUACAGUGUCACAUGGCUCCAUCAUAUAGCAAGAAAAAAAAGCGGCAAAUCCUCACAUUUUAACAGCUGAAACCAACAGAGCGUUGUUGGCGUUUUGGAAGGAAAGGUGAAUAAAAAAUUAGGUUUUUAAAAUAGA